GACGAACGCUGGCGGCGUGCUUAACACAUGCAAGUCGAGCGGUAAGGCCCUUUCGGGGGUACACGAGCGGCGAACGGGUGAGUAACACGUGGGUGACCUGCCCUCAGCUCUGGGAUAAGCCUGGGAAACCGGGUCUAAUACUGGAUAUGACUCCAUGACGCAUGUUGUGGGGUGGAAAGCCUUGUGCGGCUGAGGAUGGGCCCGCGGCCUAUCAGCUUGUUGGUGGGGUGANGGCCUACCAAGGCGACAACGGGUAGCCGGCCUGAGAGGGCGACCGGCCACACUGGGACUGAGACACGGCCCAGACUCCUACGGGAGGCAGCAGUGGGGAAUCUUGCGCAAUGGGCGAAAGCCUGACGCAGCGACGCCGCGUGAGGGAUGACGGCCU
rnacentral:rRNA from 1 species